AUGUUAAACUUCCUAAAAGUGGCCUUCUCUUCAUAGCUGAUAGGCAUUCAGGAUGGGUAUCUCUCCCUGCUGACGGAAAGUGGUGAAGUUCGUGAGGAUCUAAAGUUGCCAGAAGGGGAUCUCGGCAAAGAAAUAGAAGGAAAAUUCAAUGCCAAUGAAGAUGUGCAGAUUUCUGUCAUAAGUGCAAUGAAUGAAGAAUGUGCUGUAGCCAUAAAGCCUUGCAAGUAAAGAAGAUCGCCAGGCUCGGGCAACUGCUCAGGUCUGGACAAACCACAGAUCUAUAAAUUUGGUUCUUAUUGUCACCAAAGCUCUGGCCUUCACAAGCAACCUCAUUUCCUUUUUGAAUUGUUAAAAAGCAGUGCUGGAUUCUGGAUUAGUGUUGCAGGCUAACUGGCAGUUUUCAAAAUCACUGAGAUUUUAAUUCCUUAAUUGUAACUAUUUUAACAUUCCUGUGGGUUUCAGCUAUGGAUCUAAGAAACCAAUCAGGUGUUACUAGUGGAUAUAUUUUUAUUUGCUUGAGCAAAACAGUGUUUGUCUGUAUGAACAGACAAAAUACAGUAUUCAGGGGCUUUUAGAUAAGCUGGUAGGUAUCUAGGAUUAUAAAGUGACCUAGAGCACAAAUAGUAUUUUUCUCGACAUCUUUAGGUAGAACUGACAAUAAAAGUAGCCUUUUUUUUUCUUUUUUUUAAAGCUUAAGUACUUUGUGGAUUGGGACUCUUGCAGAACUGUAGGUGCCAAUCACAACUUUUAGACCAAGAAACUCAAGUGAUCAGAAAUGCCAGCUGGCUUGACCAAGCCCCGGUGGCCAUGUGCAACUUAACUGUAUUACCUCUGUUUUCUUCUUUGCCAACUUGUUGGCUUAUUGUAAUGAUAAAAUGGUUUAAAAAAAAAAAAAGCCUACCUGUAGUUUAGGCAGGCAAUUGGAAUAUUGGGUAGAUAAGACAUAGAUAGGUCAAGGGGACACAAAGGUGAGAAUGGAUGUUAAAGCUAUAGACUUUCACUCGAGGCCUUUGUCAGACUUGAAAAAUAAAAUAGAAAAAUGCAGUUCAAUUGCUUUCCUUUAUUAUAUUUAUCUUAAAACUAUAAAAGGGUGACAAACUCCAUGGGAAUCUGUUGCAGUGCUUCCAGCUUUAGGUUUUAACCUUCAGGUUCAGACCAUAUUUUUGUAGCACAGGGACCACAUGUUUUUCAAAAAGUGGGACAAACUGUAGCAUUGAGCCUAAACUAAAUGCAUGUGAUUCUUUUUAAGAAAAAAAUAAAACUAUUGUAUUUUCAAAAUAUAAACUUGACAGACGAUACCGAACAACCAUGGCUUAACUAUAAAAGUAAAACACUUGCUACCUAGUUAGGAAAGCUGGCUCCUGUCCUAGAGAGUUCUGAGUCAUAGCAACACGCCUGCAUGCCUCUAACUAUAUAGUAGCUUAACAAGGCUUCACAGCAAUAGUUAUGGAAGGAUAAUUAGCCUGCUCCUGUUUAAGGCGUUCAGCUUGAAUUCUAAGACUUGGUGACUCUUCAUGAGUGGGAAACUUCCUUAGUCCAUGGCUCAGACCUCUCUUCACAGUUGAUAAAUUGUUCCAUGAACUUGCCUUAAUCUUCAGUGGCUGGUGGAGGAUGACACGUAAGCUCGUGGCUUGCUGCCCCAGACAGCACGCACAACUCGCACCACUGGCAGUGAGAGUCAGGCUUCACGCUGCUCUCAGCUGCUUCAGAUGUGUUCAGCUUCAUAGUUUGUACUCUCUAGUCCCCGAAGGGCUCGUGGCAACUGUCCUGAACGGCCCUUGGACACACCGUGGCAGGGCUUAGCAAAUGCAGAUGGCAAAAACAUGCAUUUCCCACAGACUCCUCGUGCCAGGGAGAGCAGUACCAGUGAUGGUAAAGACAGCAAUAAAUACACUCUGGUAAUAAAGCACAGUUACCUGGGACACCUGGCAGAAGCAGGACCUGCCUCAUGCUCUUGCCUAGCACAACACAUGUUGCAGGUGAACUCUGUAAAUAGCACCUUGACUGAAAUGGCAAAGCUGCUCUUAGAAGAAGCUGUAGACUGCAAUGCCUUCAGAAUAGUUCUGAAGCGUGUGUGGAAUAGGUGAGGCUACUCUGCACUAUGCUCAUUCCUGCCUCUCCAUUGGGCUGGUACCUGGAAGACAGGCUUUGUUGGCUUUGGAGGUGACUAAAAGCACUGAUGAUAGUGCUGACAGCAAUUUGAGCUGUGGUGUCACGUGGGAAGUCAUAGGUUGCUAUAUCAAAGUAAUGCAAGUUCUAAUGCUAUCACCAUAUUACAAAUACUUCUAAUGGGCUUGAAAACUACGAGACUUGAAUUUGUCCUUGGUCUUGGUAGUGUUUUAGUCUACUUUCAGAUGCCUGCCUAUCCUUCCUUGUUGGAAGACAGGUAUUUGAUGCCACUGGCUCACAAUUCUGAGCAGUUACUCAGACUAAGCUCUCUGGGACCAGGGCUGGUUUUAGUCCUGUUCCUACAAGCGGGGUUCAGGCCUGACUGGAGUUUUCAAGUAAUACAGCAAUCUAAAGAUAGAGGUUUUAUGACCUCCAGCUUGCUGCAAGAGCCCUCCUUGGGCCUUUCAGACAUCCUUCUAUUGCAACCUUCAGUUCUGCAAGAUUUAAAUGGUUAAGUACUUCAUUAUAGGUUUGUUCUUAUAUACUUAGUUGUCUUUUGUGAAGCACUUCAGACACCAUGGAAGUGCAAAGCAUCAUGCAUGAAGCUUCCCAUAAGAUAAUACAUAAGCAUGUCUUAAGCAUAAUCUCCAAGUUUCAGUAAGGUUAAAAGUUGCUUCUGAAUUAGAACAUGUAUUUGAGGCAUUUUUUUUUUCCAAACUGAGAUGUUUCAGUUUCCUGUCAGAAUCGUUGCAACAAACUUUUUUUGUGAUCAGUAAUCCAUAGAGUUGUGUAUUUUUAAGAUCCAUAACCAAGUGCUUAGGGAAGUUCUCUCAUAGCUUCGCUUAAAAAGAAAUCUUACCAGUGUAUUUGUUCUGUAUUACUGUCUUAACACUUAAAUUGUGUCAAAAUCAUAAACUAUAAACUUUUGAUAGCUGAUGGCAAUUGCUUAAAGGCUGUGAACACAGGGAGAUGAUGAGAGGUGUUUCCACUCCAAAUAAUGCAUUUUUUUAUGGCUCCUGUUCGUUGAGUUUCUCUUACUACUUUACACAAUUGGAAAGACUGCAGUGUUUCCUGCCUCAAAUGUUGGCAAAUAAUACUUUGAGAUUUCAAUAGAUCCUUCUAAUUUUUGCUUACAAUGGUGGUUUUUCAACUGGGCUCUUGCUGGUUGAGCCAUGUUCUCAGGGCUGUUUUUUUUAAGAAGUUAGCUGAAGUUCAUUGUUUCUCUUGCAGGUUUUUGUACACAGUGUACCCAGAAACGGUGCACGGUCUGUAGUUUCACAAUGCAGAUAAUUUUACAUAAUCUGUAAAGAAGUCAAGUUUGUUGACAGUUCAAACUCUUAUGGUUGCUGCAGGUCAGUCUCACAGAACUCAAAAUUCAAUAAAUCCCACUUUUUUUCCUUUUAUUUUAUUUGGUUGAGUAAUUAGAAUGUAGUUUGUUACAGUAGAACUAAAUUCAGGCUAUUAAAAGAACCUUGCUAAGGAUAUUUCGAGUAUCCACUGGGAAUGUUGUGAAGGUGUGGAUCCUGGAGGCGUGGUGGAGCGAUCAGCAUGGAAUGAGGGGGUCGGGAGCCUCUCCAGCACCUGCAGCCCGGCCCUACAGGAUUUGGCACCCGAGAGUGACUUGGUUUGUGAACUCCAAGGAACUGUUUGCUGUGCUUUGCUGUAUCGCAGAAACCCUUGUUGUCCUGUGCUGUCUGUUGUAAGCAAACCCGUCUUCUCCGGGAGAAAAGGGGAGCGACGGCCACAGCUGGAGUUACGGAUCAUGGGACAAUCCAAACCCUGCUCCCGGCCCGAGCGGCUCCCGCGGCUCUCUUUUGGAAGCUUGUGUUCUCAACACCAUGGAAACGAUCAGGGGAAAAGAGAUUUGUACGUGUGUGUUUUGCUCCAGAAAUAAUAAUAAUAAAGGUGUCAGUGCUGUGGG